rnacentral:rRNA from 1 species
AGUGAACGCUGGCGGUAGGCCUAACACAUGCAAGUCGAACGGCAGCACAGUAAGAGCUUGCUCUUACGGGUGGCGAGUGGCGGACGGGUGAGGAAUACAUCGGAAUCUACUUUUUCGUGGGGGAUAACGUAGGGAAACUUACGCUAAUACCGCAUACGACCUACGGGUGAAAGCAGGGGAUCUUCAGACCUUGCGCGAUUGAAUGAGCCGAUGUCGGAUUAGCUAGUUGGCAGGGUAAAGGGACACCAAGGCGACGCUGCGUAGCUGGGCUGAGAGGAUGAUAAGAGACCCUGGGAGUGAGACACGGGAGAGAGUGGGAGUGGAGGCAGCAGUGGGGAAUAUGGGAGAAUGGGGGAAAGCAUGAUGCAGAAAUGCGGCGUGAGUGAUGAAGGCCUUAGGGUUGUAAAGAUAUUUUAGCCGGGAUGAUAAUGACAGUAGCGGGAGAAUAAGCGACGGCUAACUCCGUG